AUGGUCCUUAUCCAGGCUAUCUGGCUGCUGGUGAAAGAGAUGUAAGCCAGCCAGUAAUAAUGUCUUCCUGCAAGAUCCAAACUGUCUGCAUGAAGAUGAGACUCGAGACAUCUGGGCAGUUGCUCCUCCUGUCACCUUGGAUUCUGUGGAUGGAACCGGUGGCAUUUCCUCUGAAGAUGCACCAGGCUCUAACCUGGAGGCUGCUCAGCCUUUUGUUCUCACCGAGAUUUACUGGAUGUGCUGUGAUGGAGAGAGUAGUUGGAAAGAGGCUGACAAUUAGUUUAGAUAUCACUGUGCCUUUCUAGCCCAGUUUAAUGGUUUACAGUUAGCUGUAGUAUCGGGUCCAGUCAACCUCACUGGCUGAAAUGAUAAAACCAACGUAUUGGGAAGGAAAGAGCUGACAUCGAUACAGAGGCUUUCAAGGUCCUCACCCGCUCCCCAACUUUCCUCUGCCAGGAGAAAAACGCUAAGAGAUUUGAGGACUUAUCGGAAGCUUUGGAGUUUCCCCGGAAAGAACCAGGAAACAACUUCCUGUCCAUAUUUGGAAGAGACUUCCUGUCUACUGGAAAAGGACUGGGUAAAUAGUAUGGAACCGCUCUCCUUGGCUUUCCCUAGACUCCUGGGCUGUUCCUUGGGAAAGGAGAAAUAAUGGGAGAAGUGCCUGGUGCCAUCAGGAGUCGUUGACCAAUCUGGGGCUAGGAUGCUGUCUAGAAAAGUAAGGUUCUCCUUCCCUCUGCCUCUCAGGUCUUAUGCUGAGGCCUGGCAGGCACUGAAGGUGCUUGUGUAGUGCCUCUCCUCUCUCUCCUCUCUUUCUUCAAGGCAGAGUUUCUUUUUUGCAACAGCCCCAACUGUCCCAAAGCUUGCUUUGUAGACCAGGCUGGUCUAUCUCUUGAGUACUGGGAUCAAAGGUGUGGCCAUCACACCAGCCCCUUGUGCAGCCUCUAAGUGUCCUGGUUUAGGCAAGCUACACUGGUACAGGGAUGCCAGGCCAGCUGAGACAUGUUGUUCCUUUGCUUCCAUCCCCCACCCCCAUCACUCUUUGGUGGGUGGCUUAGUCAGGCAAUUGUGGGUCUCAUGGUCCAUGAAUCACUCACUAUCCACUUGCCUCUUCAGAAAGCCAGCGAACCACCUAAGGCUCCUGGUUGGCUCUUCAUUACGUUCCCACCAGAACCUCCUCUUCAAGGGUCAUGGACUGGUAGUAUACUUUACACCAUUUAUUUUCCUUGUCUGUCUGUCUGUCUUUGUUUAUUUUUAUUGAGUCAGAUUCCCAUCAUAUAGCUCAGGCCUACAGCUCACUAUGUACUCUACGCUGGCCACAAACUGGAGCUUAUCCUGCCUCAGCCAACCACGUGCUGGGUGGCAGAUGUGGGCCAGCAGGCCCUGCUGAAAGUGUUCCUUUCAUAGCCAACUUCGGAUAUACCCAUGUAUAACUUGCUUGUCAAAUAAAUAUCAUACUGGAAUCAUAAAGAUGGAAGUCAUUGUUGGCCUUAGCUGAGAAAACUAGUGUCUCCCAGGUCCUAGAUGUUUUGGGGAAACUUGGUCAAACUCUCUGAGGAAUUUAAUGGAACUGUUUCACCUUGAGUCACCUGGGUCAGAGCAGAGCUCCGCAUCCUGUCUCUAGAGCUGGGGGUCUUGUUCCUUUCUUGGUGCUAUUCUAAUGGUAUUUUGCUCUU
rnacentral:lncRNA from 1 species